rnacentral:rRNA from 2 species
AAUGGGUCAGCGACUUAUAUUCUGUAGCAAGGUUAACCGAAUAGGGGAGCCGAAGGGAAACCGAGUCUUAACUGGGCGUUAAGUUGCAGGGUAUAGACCCGAAACCCGGUGAUCUAGCCAUGGGCAGGUUGAAGGUUGGGUAACACUAACUGGAGGACCGAACCGACUAAUGUUGAAAAAUUAGCGGAUGACUUGUGGCUGGGGGUGAAAGGCCAAUCAAACCGGGAGAUAGCUGGUUCUCCCCGAAAGCUAUUUAGGUAGCGCCUCGUGAAUUCAUCUCCGGGGGUAGAGCACUGUUUCGGCAAGGGGGUCAUCCCGACUUACCAACCCGAUGCAAACUGCGAAUACCGGAGAAUGUUAUCACGGGAGACACACGGCGGGUGCUAACGUCCGUCGUGAAGAGGGAAACAACCCAGACCGCCAGCUAAGGUCCCAAAGUCAUGGUUAAGUGGGAAACGAUGUGGGAAGGCCCAGACAGCCAGGAUGUUGGCUUAGAAGCAGCCAUCAUUUAAAGAAAGCGUAAUAGCUCACUGGUCGAGUCGGCCUGCGCGGAAGAUGUAACGGGGCUAAACCAUGCACCGAAGCUGCGGCAGCGACACUGUGUGUUGUUGGGUAGGGGAGCGUUCUGUAAGCCUGUGAAGGUGUGCUGUGAGGCAUGCUGGAGGUAUCAGAAGUGCGAAUGCUGACAUAAGUAACGAUAAAGCGGGUGAAAAGCCCGCUCGCCGGAAGACCAAGGGUUCCUGUCCAACGUUAAUCGGGGCAGGGUGAGUCGACCCCUAAGGCGAGGCCGAAAGGCGUAGUCGAUGGGAAACAGGUUAAUAUUCCUGUACUUGGUGUUACUGCGAAGGGGGGACGGAGAAGGCUAUGUUGGCCGGGCGACGGUUGUCCCGGUUUAAGCGUGUAGGCUGGUUUUCCAGGCAAAUCCGGAAAAUCAAGGCUGAGGCGUGAUGACGAGGCACUACGGUGCUGAAGCAACAAAUGCCCUGCUUCCAGGAAAAGCCUCUAAGCAUCAGGUAACAUCAAAUCGUACCCCAAACCGACACAGGUGGUCAGGUAGAGAAUACCAAGGCGCUUGAGAGAACUCGGGUGAAGGAACUAGGCAAAAUGGUGCCGUAACUUCGGGAGAAGGCACGCUGAUAUGUAGGUGAAGUCCCUCGCGGAUGGAGCUGAAAUCAGUCGAAGAUACCAGCUGGCUGCAACUGUUUAUUAAAAACACAGCACUGUGCAAACACGAAAGUGGACGUAUACGGUGUGACGCCUGCCCGGUGCCGGAAGGUUAAUUGAUGGGGUCAGCGCAAGCGAAGCUCUUGAUCGAAGCCCCGGUAAACGGCGGCCGUAACUAUAACGGUCCUAAGGUAGCGAAAUUCCUUGUCGGGUAAGUUCCGACCUGCACGAAUGGCGUAAUGAUGGCCAGGCUGUCUCCACCCGAGACUCAGUGAAAUUGAACUCGCUGUGAAGAUGCAGUGUACCCGCGGCAAGACGGAAAGACCCCGUGAACCUUUACUAUAGCUUGACACUGAACAUUGAGCCUUGAUGUGUAGGAUAGGUGGGAGGCUUUGAAGUGUGGACGCCAGUCUGCAUGGAGCCGACCUUGAAAUACCACCCUUUAAUGUUUGAUGUUCUAACGUGGACCCGUGAUCCGGGUUGCGGACAGUGUCUGGUGGGUAGUUUGACUGGGGCGGUCUCCUCCUAAAGAGUAACGGAGGAGCACGAAGGUUGGCUAAUCCUGGUCGGACAUCAGGAGGUUAGUGCAAUGGCAUAAGCCAGCUUGACUGCGAGCGUGACGGCGCGAGCAGGUGCGAAAGCAGGUCAUAGUGAUCCGGUGGUUCUGAAUGGAAGGGCCAUCGCUCAACGGAUAAAAGGUACUCCGGGGAUAACAGGCUGAUACCGCCCAAGAGUUCAUAUCGACGGCGGUGUUUGGCACCUCGAUGUCGGCUCAUCACAUCCUGGGGCUGAAGUAGGUCCCAAGGGUAUGGCUGUUCGCCAUUUAAAGUGGUACGCGAGCUGGGUUUAGAACGUCGUGAGACAGUUCGGUCCCUAUCUGCCGUGGGCGCUGGAGAACUGAGGGGGGCUGCUCCUAGUACGAGAGGACCGGAGUGGACGCAUCACUGGUGUUCGGGUUGUCAUGCCAAUGGCACUGCCCGGUAGCUAAAUGCGGAAGAGAUAAGUGCUGAAAGCAUCUAAGCACGAAACUUGCCCCGAGAUGAGUUCUCCCUGACCCUUUAAGGGUCCUGAAGGAACGUUGAAGACGACGACGUUGAUAGGCCGGGUGUGUAAGCGCAGCGAUGCGUUGAGCUAACCGGUACUAAUGAACCGUGAGGCUUAACCUUACAACGCCGAAGGUGUUU